AUUGAACGCUGGCGGCAUGCCUAACACAUGCAAGUCGAGCGGAAGAAGGGAGCUUGCUCCUGGAUUCAGCGGCGGACGGGUGAGUAAUGCCUAGGAAUCUGCCCGGUCUUGGGGGAUAACGUCCGGAAACGGGCGCUAAUACCGCAUACGUCCUGAUGGAGAAAGUGGGGGAUCUUCCGACCUCUCGCUAUCUGAUGAGCCUAGGUUGGAUUAGCUAGUUGGUGGGGUAAAGGCCUACCAAGGCGACGAUCCGUAACUGGUAUGAGAGGACGACCAGUCACACUGGAACUGAGAAACGGCACAGACUCCUACGGGAGGCAGCAGUGGGGAAUCUUGGACAAUGGGCGAAAGCCUGAUCUAGCAAUGCCGCGGGAGUGAUGAAGGUCUUCGGAUGGGAAAGCACUUUAAGUUGGGAGGAAGGGAAGCGCGUUAAUCCCUGGCGGUUUUGACGGUACCGACAGAAUAAGCACCGGCUAACUUCGUG
rnacentral:rRNA from 1 species